CCUACGGGAGGCAGCAGUGGGGAAUUUUGGACAAUGGGGGCAACCCUGAUCCAGCCAUUCCGCGUGUGUGAAGAAGGCCUUCGGGUUGUAAAGCUCUUUCGCAAGGGAAGAAAACUCGAUCUCUAAUAUAGGUUGAGGCUGACGGUACCUUGAUAAGAAGCACCGGCUAACUACGUGCCAGCAGCCGCGGUAAUACGUAGGGUGCGAGCGUUAAUCGGAAUUACUGGGCGUAAAGCGUGCGCAGGCGGUUGUGCAAGACAGAUGUGAAAUCCCCGGGCUCAACCUGGGAAUGGCAUUUGUGACUGCACGGCUAGAGUGUGUCAGAGGGGGGUAGAAUUCCACGUGUAGCAGUGAAAUGCGUAGAUAUGUGGAGGAAUACCGAUGGCGAAGGCAGCCCCCUGGGAUAACACUGACGCUCAUGCACGAAAGCGUGGGGAGCAAACAGGAUUAGAUACCCUGGUAGUCCACGCCCUAAACGAUGUCAACUAGUUGUCGGGUCUUAAUUGACUUGGUAACGCAGCUAACGCGUGAAGUUGACCGCCUGGGGAGUACGGUCGCAAGAUUAAAACUCAAAGGAAUUGACGG
rnacentral:rRNA from 1 species